rnacentral:rRNA from 1 species
AUGCACAUCCCAGCUACCGCAGCUACCGUGCUUAGCAGAUCAAUCAAACACAUCCCAGAAACGACGCAACCUAAACAAAUCUACACGGAAAAAAGCUGCAGGGGAUGGAUACAAUCAUCAGACCUGACAGACAAAACCAACUCCCAACCUAACAGAUCACAGGAACAACAAAAAGGGAGGGGGGGAUCCGACGAACAAAAUCGCCAGCGGCGGAAAUGGGGACGGGUCGGUGCGGGGCCGAGAGAUGCCGCAGAUCCCGAUGGCAGGAACAGAAGGGAGACGGAGGAAGCGAGGCAACACGACGGAGAGCGCAGACGAGCCACCACCAAGACACUGGAUCGAGCGGCGAGGCGGAGCUCCAAAUCGCCAUGGCUAUCUCUCUCUUGCUCGACUCUGUUCGGGGUUGCGUGUUUGAAAUGA